GAUCAUGGCUCAGGACGAACGCUGGCGGCGUGCCUAACACAUGCAAGUCGAACGGGACUUGCCCCUUCGGGGACAAGUUUAGUGGCGGACGGGUGAGUAACGCGUGAGCAACCUACCUUUCAGUGGGGGACAACAGUUGGAAACGACUGCUAAUACCGCAUAACACUUAUUUAGGGCAUCUUAAAUAAGUCAAAGAUUUAUUGCUGAAAGAUGGGCUCGCGUCUGAUUAGCUAGUUGGUGGGUAACGGCCCACCAAGGCG
rnacentral:rRNA from 1 species